rnacentral:rRNA from 1 species
UACGUAGGGACCAAGCGUUGUUCGGAUUUACUGGGCGUAAAGGGCGCGUAGGCGGCAAUUCAAGUCAUCUGUGAAAUCUCCGGGCUUAACCCGGAACGGUCAGAUGAUACUGCUUUGCUAGAGUGCGGAAGGGGCAAUCGGAAUUCUCGGUGUAGCGGUGAAAUGCGUAGAUAUCGAGAGGAAAACCUGAGGUGAAGACGGGUUGCGGGGCCGACACUGAAGCUGACAGCGCGAAAGCCAGGGGAGCAAACGGG